rnacentral:rRNA from 1 species
UACGUAGGGGGCAAGCGUUGUCCGGAAUUACUGGGCGUAAAGCGCGCGCAGGCGGCCAUUCAAGUCAGGGGUGAAAGCCCAGAGCUCAACUCUGGAACUGCCUUUGAAACUGUAUGGCUUGAGUAUGAGAGAGGUGAGUGGAAUUCCCAGUGUAGAGGUGAAAUUCGUAGAUAUUGGGAAGAACACCGGUGGCGAAGGCGGCUCACUGGCUCAUUACUGACGCUCAGGCGCGACAGCGUGGGGAUCAAACAGG